UUGUUGUCAUUAUCAUCACCAGCUGUUGCGUUAUCGAAACGCGAUUCGUAAUCUGCGUUUGGAGAAGAGAGAGAUGAUAGAACGGUUCGGAGAUUGGUUAAGUAAGUGCUGUUUUUUCUGAACGUUGUUGUGUUUGGACAUAUGUGGUAGAGAUAAGUUGGAUCUGUUGCAGAAGAAAUCGAGUUUAAGCUCAUAAACAAGAAAAUCAAGAUCAGAGAAACAGAGGAUUUUAAACAAAAAGACAUGUUUUUUUUGUUUCUUAUUAAGCUAUUGUUCUGUUCUUUGUGAUUACUGCAAUAUGAUCAAUCAUGAUUACAGAACAUUUUGAUUUCAAUGGUAAGACUUGUUCAAAACAUGUCAUCAAAGUGUUCUGUUAGAGAUUUUUCAAGAUUUGUGUCGUAAUCAUUGAAAUAAUGAUCUGAUUAAAGAAACAUGUUUGGUCAAAGCCUCAAAGGUUUUUUUGGGGAAUCUUAAGUAUAUUAUUCAUUUUCCUCUCUGUUAGGGUUGACUAUGGCGACUACUUUGGGAAGAUUUGUCUCAGUUUCUUCUUCCAAUCAUGGCGUCUUCUUGAUAAAAGCUACCUUGCGUUUUGGCUAGGAGACGAAUUUUUUCUGUCACUGUUAAUGUUUCUUACAAGUUUGAAAUUUGUUGGUGUUUUAGCUCAUCAAGUCAUCAUGCACGCAUGGUGUUUGUUGAAAUGUCUUCUGAGAAUAUGCAGUGAUAUUCGUAGAUCAAAAAACGCUUUUUUCGUGUAUAAGAUAGGUCUAAAAUGUGUGUUUAUGAAGUUUGAGAAUAGAUACUGUGGGUUGAUGCUUCAAGUAAAUAUGUUCUUGAUCUAGAUAUGGUUUAUUCAGCAUUAUUGUAAGCAAUAAAGCUAGAUAUAGCGAUAGAUUCAAGAACUUAAAUAUUAAGAGUCCUGAUUGAGAAAUUUUAGUUUUGUGUUCUAUUUGAUUGUAAUUGGUUGUUGCUGAUGAUAUUUCUUGUGUUUUGUUGUAAUUCUCAAGAGUAAAGAACUAGUGGAGGUAAUAAUGUUGACCAGAAUUUGGCUUCUGAGUAUUGUUAUUUGUUGAGAUUGGUCUUUAACUGUUCAGGAUUUGGGUUUUAUGUGGACGACCACGGAAACAUGGUGAAGAAGCCUCAAAUAAGUACUCCUAGAUUGCUUUGUUGAUUCUGAAGAACAAUUUGAAAUACUUUUAUCUUUCGUUCUGUUUAUUGUUCGAGACCAUGUCACCAGUGUAGCAAAGGUAAAAACUUACACUUUAAAAUUGGAGUUAUGAAAUCGUGCAGUGCUUCAUCUCUA
rnacentral:lncRNA from 1 species